AACGAACGCUGGCGGCAUGCCUAACACAUGCAAGUCGAACGAGAACUUCGGGUAUAGUGGCGCACGGGUGCGUAACGCGUGGGAACCUGCCCUUAGGUUCGGAAUAACUCCCCGAAAGGGGUGCUAAUACCGGAUAAUGUCUUCGGACCAAAGAUUUAUCGCCUUUGGAUGGGCCCGCGUUGGAUUAGCUAGUUGGUAGGGUAAAAGCCUACCAAGGCGACGAUCCAUAGCUGGUCUGAGAGGAUGAUCAGCCACACUGGGACUGAGACACGGCCCAGACUCCUACGGGAGGCAGCAGUGGGGAAUAUUGGACAAUGGGCGAAAGCCUGAUCCAGCAAUGCCGCGUGAGUGUUGAAGGCCUUAGGGUUGUAAAGCUCUUUUACCCGGGAUGAUAAUGACAGUACCGGGAGAAUAAGCUCCGGCUAACUCCGUG
rnacentral:rRNA from 1 species